UGCCAUAGAGUUUGAUCCUGGCUCAGGAUGAACGCUGGCGGCGUGCCUAAUACAUGCAAGUCGAACGAGGUGCUUUUGUAGCAAUACGAGAGUAUCCUAGUGGCGAACGGGUGAGUAACGCGUUGGUGACCUACCCCAAAGUGUGGGAUAACAGUCCGAAAGGAUUGCUAAUACCGCAUGUGGUCAUUGGAUUUAGAAACUGAUGACUAAAGGAGCAAUUCGCUUUGGGAGGGACCUGCGUCCCAUCACCUAGUGGGUGAGGUAAUGGCUCAACAAAGCUAUGAAGGGGAGGGCACUUGAGAGGGUGGCCCCUUAGAAGGAGGUGAACCGCGGUCCCCACCCUACGGGAGGGAGCCGUACGGAAUACCGCUGCGCGGGGGAAACGGGGACGAUUACCCAGCACUCAGGGACGAAUAAGACUCGACGAGACGAACAUCCGCGCAUCUGGGUCAUCGACCAGGACUCACCCCCUCUAAAUACCCCCUUCGCACAUUGAUGCCCCCAAUCGCCGUAGGACGAGCGAACGGUGUCGCCUCCAUCGGCCACAGGGCGUCCGCGCCUAGUUCCCCACGCCGCGGCGCUGCCACCGGGCUCUUCACGUUCGACGGCGCGUGCGAAGUAUGCCUCCGGGCGCCGCCGGGGAGGACGAGAGGCCAGCCACCUUAUCUGCCGGACCCCACACGCCGCCCCCGACGCCACGCGACGUCAGGCCCGCGCCAUUGGGGCGGACCUGAGGUGCUGCCUGACGGGCACAUACACCGGACGAGGACAGCGAGUGCAGCCACCUCUACCGCGGACGGAAUUUCGUCACUUCUCACGAUCGCUUAUCAUCUUCGC
rnacentral:rRNA from 1 species